rnacentral:piRNA from 1 species
UGGGAUAGUAGAGCAUCCUUUUUACACAGA